rnacentral:sRNA from 1 species
GCCAUGUGCAGUGGUGCACUCCUGUAAUCCCAGCUACUCAGGAGGCUGAGGCAGGAAGAUUGUAAGUUCGAGGUCAGCCUCGGCAAUUUAGCAAGAUCCUGUCUCAA